UACGUAGGGGGCUAGCGUUGUCCGGAUUUAUUGGGCGUAAAGCGUGCGCAGGCGGUUUGUUAAGUCUGCUGUGAAAUCCCCGAGCUCAACUUGGGAAUUGCAAUGGAUACUGGCGAGCUAGAGUGUGUCAGAGGAUGGUGGAAUUCCCGGUGUAGCGGUGAAAUGCGUAGAGAUCGGGAGGAACAUCAGUGGCGAAGGCGGCCAUCUGGGACAACACUGACGCUGAAGCACGAAAGCGUGGGGAGCAAACAGG
rnacentral:rRNA from 1 species